ACCCGCUGAACUUAAGCAUAUCAAUAAGCGGAGGAAAAGAAACCAACAGGGAUUGCCCCAGUAACGGCGAGUGAAGCGGCAAGAGCUCAAAUUUGAAAGCUGGCUCCUUCGGGGUCCGCAUUGUAAUUUGCAGAGGAUGCUUCGGGAGCGGUCCCCAUCUAAGUGCCCUGGAACGGGACGUCAUAGAGGGUGAGAAUCCCGUAUGGGAUGGGGUGUCCGCGCCCGUGUGAAGCUCCUUCGACGAGUCGAGUUGUUUGGGAACGCAGCUCUAAAUGGGUGGUAAAUUUCAUCUAAAGCUAAAUAUUGGCCGGAGACCGAUAGCGCACAAGUAGAGUGAUCGAAAGAUGAAAAGCACUUUGAAAAGAGAGUUAAAAAGCACGUGAAAUUGUUGAAAGGGAAGCGCUUGCGACCAGACUCGCUCGCGGGGUUCAGCCGGCAUUCGUGCCGGUGUACUUCCCCGCGGGCGGGCCAGCGUCGGUUUGGGCGGUCGGUCAAAGGCCCUCGGAAGGUAACGCCCCUAGGGGCGUCUUAUAGCCGAGGGUGCAAUGCGACCUGCCUAGACCGAGGAACGCGCUUCGGCUCGGACGCUGGCAUAAUGGUCGUAAGCGACCCGUCUUGAAACACGGACC
rnacentral:rRNA from 1 species